GAAUUGACGGGGGCCCGCACAAGCGGAGGAACAUGUGGUUUAAUUCGAUGAUACGCGAGGAACCUUACCCGGGCUUGAAUUGCUGAGGAAAGAUCCAGAGAUGGAGAUGCCCUUCGGGGCCUCAGUGAAGGUGCUGCAUGGUUGUCGUCAGCUCGUGCCGUGAGGUGUCGGCUUAAGUGCCAUAACGAGCGCAACCCCUCUCUUCAGUUGCCAUCAGGUUAAGCUGGGCACUCUGGAGACACUGCCACCGUAAGGUGUGAGGAAGGUGGGGAUGACGUCAAAUCAGCACGGCCCUUACGUCCGGGGCUACACACGUGUUACAAUGGGUGGUACAGAGAGUUGGGUGCGCGCAAGCUCACCCUAAUCAAGAAAUCCAUUCUCAGUUCGGACUGGGGUCUGCAACCCGACCCCACGAAGCUGGAUUCGCUAGUAAUCGCGCAUCAGCCAUGGCGCGGUGAAUACGUUCCCGGGCCUUGUACACACCG
rnacentral:rRNA from 1 species